rnacentral:rRNA from 1 species
GACGAACGCUGGCGGCGUGCUUAACACAUGCAAGUCGAACGGAAAGGCCCUGCUUUUGUGGGGUGCUCGAGUGGCGAACGGGUGAGUAACCCGUGAGUAACCUGCCCUUGACUUUGGGAUAACUUCAGGAAACUGGGGCUAAUACCGGAUAGGAGCUCCUGCUGCAUGGUGGGGGUUGGAAAGUUUCGGCGGUUGGGGAUGGACUCGCGGCUUAUCAGCUUGUUGGUGGGGUAGUGGCUUACCAAGGCUUUGACGGGUAGCCGGCCUGAGAGGGUGACCGGCCACAAUGGGACUGAGAGACGGCCCAGAGUGCUACGUGAGGCAGCAGUGGGGAAUAUUGCACAAUGGGCGGAAGCCUGAUGCAGCGACGCCGCGUGCGGGAUGACGGCCUUCGGGUUAUAAACCGCAUUCGCCUGUGACGAAGCGGGAGUGACGGUAAUGGGUAAAGAAGCACCGGCUAACUACGUG